AUUUGUAGAGGAUGCUUUUGGCGCGGUGCCUUCCGAGUUCCCUGGAACGGGACGCCUUAGAGGGUGAGAGCCCCGUACGGUUGGACACCAAGCCUCUGUAAAGCUCCUUCGACGAGUCGAGUAGUUUGGGAAUGCUGCUCUAAAUGGGAGGUAAAUUUCUUCUAAAGCUAAAUAUUGGCCAGAGACCGAUAGCGCACAAGUAGAGUGAUCGAAAGAUGAAAAGCACUUUGAAAAGAGGGUUAAAUAGCACGUGAAAUUGUUGAAAGGGAAGCGUUUGCGACCAGACCUUUUCCUAGCGGAUCAUCCGGUGUUCUUCGCCGGUGCACUUCGCUAGGUCGAGGCCAGCAUCGGUUUCUGCAGGGGGAUAAAAGCCCAGGGAACGUAGCUCUUUCGGGAGUGUUAUAGCCCUCCGCAUAAUACCCUUGCGGGGACCGAGGACCGCGCUUUUUGCAAGGAUGCUGGCGUAAUG
rnacentral:rRNA from 1 species